rnacentral:rRNA from 1 species
AAUGAACGCUGGCGGCAGGCCUAACACAUGCAAGUCGAGCGAGCGGCGGACGGGUGAGUAAUGUAUGGGGACUGCCCGAUAGAGGGGGAAAACUACUGGAAACGGUGGACAAUACCGCCUACUGACGGAUAACCCAUAUGGGUUUAGCUAGUAGGUAAGGUAAUGUCUUACAGAGGCGACGAUCCCUAGCUGGUCUGAGAGGAUGAACAGCCCCACUGGGACUGAGACACGGCCCAGACUCCUACGGAGGCAGCAGUGGGGAAUAUUGCACAAUGGGCGCAAGCCUGAUGCAGCCAUGCCGCGUGUAUGAAGAAGGCCCUAGGGUUGUAAAGUACUUUCAGUCGGGAGGCGUUACCGACAGAAGAAGCAACGGCUAACUCCGUGCCAGCAGCCGCGGUAAUAC